GACGUAGGGCGCGAGCGUUGUCCGGAUUUAUUGGGCGUAAAGAGCUCGUAGGCGGCUUGUCGCGUCGACUGUGAAAACCCGAGGCUCAACUUCGGGCUUGCAGUCGAUACGGGCAGGCUAGAGUUCGGUAGGGGAGACUGGAAUUCCUGGUGUAGCGGUGAAAUGCGCAGAUAUCAGGAGGAACACCGAUGGCGAAGGCAGGUCUCUGGGCUGACACUGACGCUCAUGCACCGAAAGCGUGGGGAGCAAACAGG
rnacentral:rRNA from 1 species